rnacentral:rRNA from 1 species
GACGUAGGGCGCGAGCGUUGUCCGGAUUUAUUGGGCGUAAAGAGCUCGUAGGCGGCUUGUCGCGUCGACUGUGAAAUCCCGCGGCUCAACUGCGGGUCUGCAGUCGGUACGGGCAGGCUAGAGUUCGGUAGGGGAGACUGGAAUUCCUGGUGUAGCGGUGAAAUGCGCAGAUAUCAGGAGGAACACCGGUGGCGAAGGCGGGUCUCUGGGCCGAUACUGACGCUGAGGAGCGAAAGCGUGGGGAGCAAACAGG